AAUUGGCAAGUAUGAUGAUUCAAUUAGAUGUGUGAAUGGAAAUUAAUCCAUAUUGAACUCAACAUUUUGAGGCAUUUUUAAUUGUCUGACUUGCGUGUU
rnacentral:snoRNA from 13 species